GUGGGGAAUAUUGGGCAAUGGGCGAAAGCCUGACCCAGCAACGCCGCGUGAAGGAAGAAGGUUUUCGGAUCGUAAACUUCUAUCCUUGGUGAAGAUAAUGACGGUAGCCGAGAAGGAAGCCCCGGCUAACUACGUGCCAGCAGCCGCGGUAAUACGUAGGGGGCAAGCGUUGUCCGGAAUGAUUGGGCGUAAAGGGCGCGUAGGCGGCCUGGUAGGUCUGGAGUGAAAGUCCUGCUUUUAAGGUGGGAAUUGCUUUGGAUACUGUCGGGCUUGAGUGCAGGAGAGGUAAGUGGAAUUCCCGGUGUAGCGGUGAAAUGCGUAGAGAUCGGGAGGAACACCAGUGGCGAAGGCGACUUACUGGACUGUAACUGACGCUGAGGCGCGAAAGUGUGGGGAGCAAACAGGAUUAGAUACCCGGGUAGUCC
rnacentral:rRNA from 1 species